CCUAGAGUUGUAGGCUUUGCCUGCUAUCUCUUACCCAUGUCUUUUGAGUACCUUACGUUUCCUCGGUGGGUUCGCCCACCGAUUGGACAAACUUAAACCCUUUGCAGUUGAAAUCAGCGUCUGAAAAAAACUUAAUAGUUA
rnacentral:misc_RNA from 1 species